CAGGAACCUGAAAACCUUACUUCUCGGGUUUCUCAUAUCAAAUUAAUUAGGAAAAGUAUUUGGAAGAUAAGUUCUUAUUUUUUGCCUUCAUGUUAGCAUUUCAAAACCUUCCCUAGAACCAGCUCUAGUGUUUUAAAGCAAAUGCCAUGUGGGAGGAGAGAAAUAGUGCUGAGCAAGAGCAGGAACAGCACGGGACGGCCGUCUGCCAGGUUCUGCCUCGUCAUCCUGAAAUCCAGUUCUGCGGGAGCCAGGAGAGAGAAACCAGCCAAGAGUGGCUCCAAACAGCCAAGAUGUCUUGGUCAAUUGCAAGAGCUGGGUUGUGACAACAGAAGGGGAUGUUACGUGGCAACUGAGGAAAAGCAGGAACAUGUUUAGCUUCCAGCAGCACUAAAAUAAACAGGUAAGAGUGCUUGCCUGGAUGGUAAUA
rnacentral:lncRNA from 1 species